GAUGAACGCUAGCGGCAGGCCUAAUACAUGCAAGUCGAACGGUAAGGUUUCUUCGGAAAUACACGAGUGGCGCACGGGUGCGUAACGCGUAUGCAACCUACCUAUUACUGGGGGAUAGCCAGUGGAAACAUUGAUUAAUACCCCAUGGUACUUUUGAGUGGCAUCACUUGAUAGUUAAAGAUUUAUUGGUAAUAGAUGGGCAUGCGUAUGAUUAGCUAGUUGGAGAGGUAAUGGCUCACCAAGGCAACGAUCAUUAGGGGUUCUGAGAGGAUGAUCCCCCACACUGGUACUGAGACACGGACCAGACUCCUACGGGAGGCAGCAGUAGGGAAUAUUGGGCAAUGGAGGCAACUCUGACCCAGCCAUGCCGCGUGCAGGAAGACGGCCCUCUGGGUUGUAAACUGCUUUUUUAUUUGAAGAAAAGCCCAUGCGUGGGUCUAUGACGGUAAAAUAAGAAUAAGCACCGGCUAACUCCG
rnacentral:rRNA from 1 species